UAAGUAAAUCAGAUAGUCGCAGGUAAUUACCUGAGGAAAGUCGGAGCUCCACAGGGCAAGGUGCUGGAUAACAUCCAGUGGGGGUGACCCCAAGGAAAGUGCCACAGAAAUAAACCGCCUCUAAUUGAGGUAAGGAUGGAACGGUGAGGUAAGAGCUCACCAGCAUUUAGGCGACUAAAUGGCUAGGUAAACCCCACCCGGAGCAAGACCAAAUAGGGGAACUAUGAAGUUGCCCGCUUCGUUCCCGGGUUAGGUCGCUGGA
rnacentral:RNase_P_RNA from 1 species